GUAGACGCUUCGCGUCUACUUUAGUCCGUGGGGACCAGUAGAAAUUUUAAAAAUUUUUGUCAGUACUACAAAAAAAAAAUCUCCAAAAUUAUCCAAGGAGUGCCCUAAACACGCAGUGGGGAAGAGACCUGCCGUACCCUCAUAAGGCUCUGAGUUCAAACCUUAGCCUCGGCAUGGUGCUCUACCCAACUUUUUCUUUUUUUAGUACUUGGAAAACAUUAACAUCUAUAAUAAAUCCAAAAAUCUCAUCCAUUAUUCUGUAAGAGACCAACAUACAAAAUUGACGAAACACAAAAUCACGGUCUCACAACAUGUAAUUAAACGGGCUACACGUGUUUCGCUCUAGUUAGAGCAUCAUCAGGCCUUAAGAAGCCAUCCACACACUUAUGCUGUAACUGAUGAUGCUCUAACUAGAGCGAAACACGUGUAGCCCGUUUAAUUACAUGUUGUGAGACCGUGACUUUGUGUUUUUCUUUGUUUUUCGUCAAUCUAUAGUAAAUACAGAGAGAAAAGGAAAGGUCUUAUUAUAUAUUAUAAUCAAAAAUAAAUUUCAUUGAAAUAUUACUAACUUAUUUCUGGGUAUCAUGCUUCAGAGAACCAUGAUGUGUUACAAUACGCUCCGCUCUUUAAUUUUAGUUUAGUAGAAAAUAUUCUCAAAACCUACAUAUAUCAAAAUUAUGUCAGGGUUCUAAAAUGAAUCGGUAAUAAAAUCGUAAACCAGAUCAACAUUGGAAAUAAUUUAAAAAAUUUGCUUUGGUCCGAUUGAAAAAAGUACUAUACUACCAAAUAGUUACAUCUAUUCUGUAGCAAUAAAAGUUAUAAAAUUCUGUCUAUUAUUAAUUUUAAUAUUAUAAAGUGUAUCGUUUAACUCUUAGCCAUUAUUUAUAAUUUAAUUGUUAAUUAUGCCUAAAAAAACGAAUUAACAACUUUGGUAUUGUUUGGAAGGUAAACAGCUUAAUUCCUUUAUGUAAAGCCACCUUAACAUGUUUUUGCAUAAUUCUGACUCACGUUGGUUGCUAUCGGGCUUAAGCCAUAAAAAUCGAAGAAAAAAAGAAGAAGACGAAGAGACUUUCACUUGUCAUUUCAAUGUCACUUUCCGGCCCACAAGCAUAAACGCCACCGGCAACGGAAGUUCCCAAAAUCCAAACAAAUGUUGGAAGAUAUUUUUAAGUCUCCGCAUCUUUCUUACUUUCCUAUAUGAAAAUAAAAUUGGACUACACCAACAAAGGUUAUGUGUUUUGCACCAGAUUGAAAGCAUCAUAGCGAAAAACGGACCUGUCAUAUCUUUAAAUUUUCAAAAGAGCCCCUGGAAAAAGAAAAAUGAAUAUCUUUGCCAAGGAAUAGGUACUAAGGCAAAAUGGUAUGUAAUUGUUGACAAAAAUACAAUGAAUGGCCUCACUACUUUUCCACAUGCAAAGAGGUUAACCAAGGAGAAAUUAAAGAAAUUGUCAAAAACCUAGGUAAAUACAGAAUUGCUUAGUACAAACAUAUCUAUACCCAGUACAAGUUCGUCCACUUCUUUGAAGCAUGGUACUUCAAACAGAAACACUGUCAACAAUUUUGUAGAAGGUGAGCCGGUGUCAAAUUCCAGUAAGGGACAUGAUUUCAAUUUUGCACCAACAGCAGAGCUAAAGUUCAUUUUGCCGCAAAAAACUGGAGGAUGUGAAAGAAAAAAGUGCAGAAGUUAAAAUUAAGUUUUUCAUAUGAGCACAUAAAAAAUAAUCAUGACAAAGUUCAGUUGUAUACAGGUUUGACAUGUAAUAAAUAUUUUUGUAAUCUUAUUAAGUUAAUUAGUUUUAUAUAUUAUUUAAAUAAUAAUUGUAUACUUCACAUAGAAUAUGCAGAAAUUAUAUGUACAUAUAUAAAUUUUUUUAUUAAGAUAAGGACAACAUGUAUUAAAGCAUAACACAUAAUAUAAACACACACGUAAUAUCUUCAUUAAAAAUUAUGAUUGUAUGUUAUGUAGCAUUAGAGCCUAAAAACAUUAAGGAGAAUAAAGGUCGUUAUUGGCAAA